GGCGGCAUGCCUUACACAUGCAAGUCGAACGGUAACAGGUCUUCGGAUGCUGACGAGUGGCGAACGGGUGAGUAAUACAUCGGAACGUGCCCGAUCGUGGGGGAUAACGGAGCGAAAGCUUUGCUAAUACCGCAUACGAUCUACGGAUGAAAGCAGGGGACCGCAAGGCCUUGCGCGGACGGAGCGGCCGAUGGCAGAUUAGGUAGUUGGUGGGAUAAAAGCUUACCAAGCCGACGAUCUGUAGCUGGUCUGAGAGGACGACCAGCCACACUGGGACUGAGACACGGCCCAGACUCCUACGGGAGGCAGCAGUGGGGAAUUUUGGACAAUGGGCGCAAGCCUGAUCCAGCCAUGCCGCGUGCAGGAUGAAGGCCUUCGGGUUGUAAACUGCUUUUGUACGGAACGAAGAGACUCUGGUUAAUACCUGGGGUCCAUGACGGUACCGUAAGAAUAAGCACCGGCUAACUACGUGCCAGCAGCCGCGGUAAUACGUAGGGUGCAAGCGU
rnacentral:rRNA from 1 species